rnacentral:rRNA from 1 species
CUAGAACGAACGCUGGCGGCGCGUCUUAAGCAUGCAAGUCGGACGGCGAGGGCACCGUUCGGGUGUCCGAGAGUGGCGAACGGGUGAGUAACACGUAAGUGAUCUGCCCUGCAGGUUGGGGAUAGCCUGUGGAAACACAGGGUAAUACCGGAUGAGAUGUCAAUGAUUGAACUAUGGCAUGAAAGUGGCUACGGCCACGCUGCAGGAUGAGCUUGCGGCUCAUUAGCUAGGUUGGGGUGUAACGGACCACCAAGGCGACGAUGAGUAGCCGGCCUGAGAGGUGAACGGCCACAGUUGGGACUGAGACACCGGCCCAGACUCCGUACGGGAGGCAGCAGCUAAGAAUUAUUCCGACAAGUGGGGGGAACCCUGACGGAGCGACGCCGCGUGAACGAUGAAGGCCAGAGAUGUUGUAAAGUUCUUUUAUCGCUGAAGAAUAACCGGUGCAGGGAAUGGCACCGGGAUGACGUUAGGCGAUGAAUAAGCCACGGCUAACUACGUGCCAGCAGCGGC